CAGCUUUUCCACGAGGUCUUUAAUUCCCAUUCGGGCCCCCGGCCAUGCCCUGCGCCACCUCCGCGAGUGGGGGGAACAUUGUCCCCAAGGGUCACCCCCCAGCCCGGCGUGAGGGGGACACGCGGUGACACCGAGAGGGGACAGACACGGAGGGGAGGGACACGAGCCACCCCCGACCGGGGAUAAAAGGGGGAAUGUUGGGAAUUCUUCCCGUUUUAUGUACAAAAUUCCGGCUGGGGGAGGGGACAGGGACACCCAGGGACCUCCCCCCUCCCCGUGGUCAAAACAGUUCUGGUAGUUAAUAUCAUUAAUAAUGGCAAUAAUUAAUGGCAGGCGACAGCGGUGUCCCCAUGCCCCGGGUGGCAUCAGGAUCCUGAUCCUGGACAGGCGGAGAUCCGGGAUCAUCCCUCUAAUCCUCAAUAUCCACCCUAUUGUAGAGAGCUUCCAUCCCACUGUGGAUCAUCCAUCCCACCUAGAACAUCCGUUCAAACCUGAAGCAUCCAUCCCACCUUGGAUUAUCCUUUUCUGGAGCAUCCACCCAUCAUUGGAACAUCUAUUCCACUUGGAUCAUCCAUCCCACCUAGAACAUCCCUUCCAUCCUGGAGUAUCCAUCCCAUCCUGGAUCAUCCACCUCACUUUGGAUCAUCCAUCCCACCUUGGAACAUCCAACCCAUCCUUAAGCUUCCAUCCCACCUGGAGCAUCCUUUUCUGGAGUAUCCAUCCUAUGUUGAACAUCCAUCCCACCUGGAUCAUCCAUCCUGCCUUGGAUCAUGCAUCCCAACCUGGAGCAUCCAUCUCAUCCCAGAGAGUCCAUCCCACCUUGGCUCAUCCAUCCUUUUCCAGAGCUUCCAUCCCAUCUUGGAUAAUCCAUCCCACCAGGAUCAUCCAACCCAUCCUGGAGUUUCCAUCCCAACCUGGAUAUCCAUCCCACCUUGGAUCAUCCAUCCUUUUCCACAGCUUCCAUCCCACCUCGGAAUAUUCAUCCCACCUUGGAUGAUCCAUCCCAUCUUGGAUUGUGCAUCCCAACCUGGAGCAUCCAUCUCAUCCCAGAACAUCCAUCCCACCUUGGAUCAUCCAUCCUUUUCCAAAGCAUCCAUCCCACCUUGCAUCAUCCUUUUCCAGAGCAUCCAUUCCUUGUUGGAACACCCAUCCCACCUUGGAUGAUCCAUCCUGACCUGGAGCUUCCAUCCCACCAGGAUCAGCCAUCCUACCUUGGAUCAUCCAAUCCAUCCUGGAGCAUCCAUCUUACCUUGGAUCAUCCAUCCCUUUCCAGAGCUUCCAUCCCAGCCUGGAGUGUCCAGCUCAUCUGAGAGCAUCCAUCCCACCUUGGAUGAUCCAUCCCACCUCAGAACAUCCAUCCUACCUUGGAACAUCCAUCUCAUUCCAGAGCAUCCAUCCCACCUUGGAUCAUCCAUUCCACCUGAAGCAUCCAUCCCACCUUGAGUGAUUCAUCCCACCUUAGAACAUCCAUCCUGACCUGGAGCUUCCAUCCCAUCCUGGAGUGUCCAUCUUAACCCAGAGCAUCCAUCCCACCUUGGAUCAUCCAUUCUUUUCCAGAGCUUCCAUUCCACCUCAGAAUAUUCAUCCCACCUUGGAUGAUCCAUCCUGUCUUGGAUUGUGCAUCCCAACCUGGAGCAUCCAUCUCAUCCCAGAGCAUCCAUCCCACCUUGGAUCAUUCAUCCAUUUCCAGAGCUUCCAUCCCACCUUGGAUCAUCCAUCCUUUUCUGGAUCAUCCCUCCCAUUCUGGACCACCCCUCCUGCCCAUCCCGGCGCCUCCACCCCUCUCCCUCCUCCGCCCCAUUCCCGGCUCUCUCCACCUCUUCCUGAGGCCAAACCCAGGAAUUUUGGCUCAUUCCAGGAUUUCCCCGAGUCCCCCCUCAGCCGGGCCAGGCCAGGGUCACCCGGGGUGGGGACAUCAGGGGGCUGGGUCCCCUCAUCCCGCUGAGCCUGGUGGCUCCGCCCAGCUCCGAGGGGAGGGGACAGGGAUGUCCCCAGUC
rnacentral:lncRNA from 1 species